GUCGAGAAUCUUUCACAAUGGGGGCAACCCUGAUGGAGCGACGCCGCGUGGAGGAUAAGGUCUUCGGAUUGUAAACUCCUGUCAUGCGUGAACAAGGUCGCUUGGUUAAUACCUGGGCAAAUUGAUGGUAACGCAAGAGGAAGAGACGGCUAACUCUGUGCCAGCAGCCGCGGUAAUACAGAGGUCUCAAGCGUUGUUCGGAAUCACUGGGCGUAAAGGGUGCGUAGGUGGCGUGGUAAGUCAGAUGUGAAAGCCCGGGGCUCAACCACGGAACUGCAUCCGAUACUGCCAUGCUAGAGUACUGGAGAGGUGACUAGAAUUCUCGGUGUAGCAGUGAAAUGCGUAGAUAUCGAGAGGAAUACCAAAGGCGUAGGCAGGUCACUGGACAGUUACUGACACUGAGGCACGAAGGCCAGGGGAGCGAACGGGAUUAGAUACCCGUGUAGUCC
rnacentral:rRNA from 1 species